UACGGAGGGGGCUAGCGUUGUUCGGAAUUACUGGGCGUAAAGCGCACGUAGGCGGUUUCUCAAGUCAGAGGUGAAAGCCCGGAGCUCAACUCCGGAAUAGCCUUUGAAACUAGGAAACUUGAACGUCGGAGAGGUGAGUGGAAUUCCGAGUGUAGAGGUGAAAUUCGUAGAUAUUCGGAGGAACACCAGUGGCGAAGGCGGCUCACUGGUCCGGUACUGACGCUGAGGUGCGAAAGCGUGGGGAGCAAACAGG
rnacentral:rRNA from 1 species